rnacentral:rRNA from 1 species
AUUGAACGCUGGCGGCAGGCCUAACACAUGCAAGUCGAACGAGUGGCGGACGGGUGAGUAAUGUCUGGGAAACUGCCCUAUGGAGGGGGAUAACUACUGGAAACGGUAGCUAAUACCGCAUACCAUCGGAUGUGCCCAGAUGGGAUUAGGUAGUGGGUGGGGUAAAGGCUCACCUAGGCGACGAUCCCUAGCUGGUCUGAGAGGAUGACCAGCCACACUGGGACUGAGACACUGGCCAGACGCCUACGUGAGGCAGCAGUGGGGAAUAUUGCACAAUGGGCGCAAUCCUGAUGCAGCCAUGCCGCGUGAAUGAAGAAGGCCUUCGGGUUGUAAAGGACUUUCGGCGGGGAGGCGUUACUCGCAGAAGAAGCACCGGCUAACUCCGUGACAGCAGCCGCGGUAAUUC